rnacentral:rRNA from 1 species
UACGUAGGGGGCAAGCGUUGUCCGGAAUCAUUGGGCGUAAAGAGCGUGUAGGCGGCCAGAAAAGUCCGCUGUGAAAACUCGAGGCUCAACUUCGAGCUGUCGGUGGAAACUUUCUGGCUAGAGUCCGGAAGAGGAGAAUGGAAUUCCUGGUGUAGCGGUGAAAUGCGCAGAUAUCAGGAGGAACACCCGUGGCGAAGGCGGCUCUCUGGUACGUGACUGACGCUGAGACGCGAAAGCGUGGGGAGCGAACAGG